rnacentral:rRNA from 1 species
GAUGAACGCUGGCGGCGUGCCUAAUACAUGCAAGUCGAGCGAACAGACGAGGAGCUUGCUCCUCUGACGUUAGCGGCGGACGGGUGAGUAACACGUGGAUAACCUACCUAUAAGACUGGGAUAACUUCGGGAAACCGGAGCUAAUACCGGAUAAUAUAUUGAACCGCAUGGUUCAAUAGUGAAAGACGGUUUUGCUGUCACUUAUAGAUGGAUCCGCGCCGCAUUAGCUAGUUGGUAAGGUAACGGCUUACCAAGGCAACGAUGCGUAGCCGACCUGAGAGGGUGAUCGGCCACACUGGAACUGAGACACGGUCCAGACUCCUACGGGAGGCAGCAGUAGGGAAUCUUCCGCAAUGGGCGAAAGCCUGACGGAGCAACGCCGCGUGAGUGAUGAAGGUCUUCGGAUCGUAAAACUCUGUUAUUAGGGAAGAACAAAUGUGUAAGUAACUACGCGCGUCUUGACGGUACCUAAUCAGAAAGCCACGGCUAACUACGUG